GUGCUCAACAAGUUCUCAAUGAGUAUAUUUUCAGGGCUAGCAUUUAUACACAGUUUGUCAUGCAAACAGUGAGAUCUAUAGUGUCCUUGUAGUUAAUAGUACAUACUUGUCGGACAUGAAAAAGAUAAGCAUUUGGAUAAAGACGAGACAGGAACAUCCUAAGGUCAAGGAAGGUCAUACAUCCUGUAGACGAAAGACCUUGGUACAAAAUACAUCUGCCAAAGUCAGCAUAAUUAUUUCAAACAUUAUUUUAAAGCAAGAAAGAGUUUAACUAUUUCAUAUCCUUACAGUCAGUACUAAUGAUUAUAAACCUUAUCUAAGCAUAAAAUACAUAUGAACAAGGAAAGUUAACUAUUUCAGCUUUCAUCCCCCCUCUUUGAGCAAUACACUUGCU